rnacentral:rRNA from 1 species
CCUACGGGGGGCAGCAGUGGGGAAUAUUGCACAAUGGGGGAAAGCCUGAUGCAGCGACGCCGCGUGAGUGAAGAAGUAUUUCGGUAUGUAAAGCCCUAUCAGCAGGGAAGAAAAUGCCGGUACCUGAUUAAGAAGCCCCGGCUAACUACGUGCCAGCAGCCGCGGUAAUACGUAGGGGGCAAGCGUUAUCCGGAUUUACUGGGGUUAAAGGGAGCGUAGACGGCAGCACAAGUCUGGCGUGAAAUGCCGGGGCUUAAACCCGGAACUGCUUUGGAAACUGUGCAUCUAGAGUGCAGGAGAGGUAAGUGGAAUUCCUAGGGUAGCGGUGAAAUGCAUAGAUAUUAGGAGGAACACCAGUGGCGAAGGCGGCUUACUGGACUGUAACUGACGUUGAGGCUCGAAAGCGUGGGGAGCGAACAGGAUUAGAUACCCUUGUAGUC